UACGGAGGGCGCGAGCGUUAUCCGGAAUCACUGGGUUUAAAGGGUGCGUAGGCGGCUCGGUAAGUCAGUUGUGAAAGCCCCUUGCUUAACGAGGGAGGUGCGAUUGAUACUGUCGAGCUUGAAUCGGGAUGAGGCAGGCGGAAUGUGGCAUGUAGCGGUGAAAUGCAUAGAUAGGCCAUAGGACACCGAUUGCGAAGGCAGCCUGCUGGGCCUGUAUUGACGCUGAGGCACGAAAGCGUGGGGAGCAAACAGG
rnacentral:rRNA from 1 species